CCUAUAGGCAGUAUUACUGGAGGCUGGUGGGAGGAGCUAUAGGAGGACGGGUUCAAUGUAAUGGUUGGAUAAAAUGAAUGGAACAGAGUCAAACAUGUGGUUUCCAUAUGUUUGAUACCUUUCCAUUAAGCCCAUUCCAGCCGUGUGGCUCAGUUGGUAGAGCAUGGUGUUUGCAACGCCAGGGUUGUGGGUUCGAUUCCCACGGGGGACCAGUAUGGAAAAAAAAAAAUGUAUGAAAUGUAUGCAUUCACUACUGUAAGUCGCUCUGGAUAAGAGCGUCUGCUAAAUGACUAAAAUGUAAAAAAUUAUGAAGAGCCCAUCCUCCUAUAGCUCCUCCCACCAGCCUCCUCUGCUAUGGACAGUUUGUUGUUGAUGCUACCACGCAGAUCCCACAGAAAACCUCCCUAAGGCGUUGGAUGAGUCACCCAGCCCCAGAGUGCAUCAGAGAUGAACAUUAUUCAUCUCUCAAUAACAAAACAGGCAUACCAACCCACAACAACACUAUAUGGCUAUGUGUGAGGGUCAUGAUGUAAGUGCAUAAUUGUUUCCACACUUCCCAUAAGAGCUGGUUGAAAAUAACCCAAAUGGACACAGGUUGAGUGAGGGUGCCAGGCUGAUUCAUAGUGAUUGUAAUACAGCCAUAUGGAUGAAUGGGAGAAGACUCACUCAGAGAUAUCCUAGCCAGGUUCAAACAAGACAGUGACCUUGACUGAACAGCCAGUAUGCAGCCAGUAGCAUCUUUACCAUUCAUACCACACCAGAUGAAGGCAGAUGAAGGUGCUUACAGUGUAGGUUCUCUUUGGGUUGAUUAGGUUCUGUUCGGUUUGAGAUAUUUUACAAUCAUACCAAACAGAACCUAAGUACCCACUGUAUUCACAUAACAAGCUGUGAUUAUGUGAAUACGGUCGGUGCUUAUUUUCAGCUCUCUUGCAACAUGCUUUGGAAGCUGCCAUACCUCCUGGAGUUAUGUACAUUUUAUUCGGUCCUCAUGUUUAUGGAUCUCUGUUUAAGGAAAUAUACUUCUGCAUCUGUUGCGGUGUAGCGAUGGACGCAGAGCUCCAGUGCAAUAACUCUGGUUGACAUUAGUAGGUAUUCAGUCUGUGUUCAUUACCAUUCAUAGCUUAGUUGUGCUGCUGCGCUGGGUUGGUUACUGCUGAAGGAGUUUUUUUUUAACCUUUAGCAGGGAGUACCAUGGAGACCAAGGCCUCUUUUCCAAUUGAUAAAAUGUGCAACAUUCAAACAUACAACGUAAUAAGAACAUAAUACUAGCAAUUUAAGAAGCAAAACACAUUCCUCAACAACGAGGUCAUCCAUUAGCAAUUGAACUCACCUAAACAUAGUCUAUAUAAUAAUAUACUGUUUGUAAACUACAUAUAUUAGACAGUAUUGUACAUGUGCCGACAUGAUUGAUUGGAGAUAAAGGAGAAAAGUACCUAGGUGAAAGGAAUUAGACACCUUUGUCUUAAAAUAGUGGCUGAUCUAAGGGUCGAGGUCACACUGCUGCAUAUUAAGAAUUUUUCUGUCUGCUUUUUGGGAAGCUGAAAUACGAGAGGGCAGUUGUUGUCGCUCACAGCGGUUCACUCCAUGCCAACACAAACUGUGCUCCUCUUUCAACUAAACCCCACUUCGCAUUCCAAUAAUGCAUUUCCACUGGGAGAGAUACGUGUGUGAACUCCCUUUCUGAAAGUCUCACAGUGUUACAUCUUAUUUCUGGUGGGUUAAAGACCUUCUGUAAAAGCAGUCUGACAUUUUAAAUAAAUGCCAAGAUAACUUUUUUCUCCAUGUUACACAUAGCCCAGACUGCACAUUUGUGGUGGAGUUGUAGAAAAAUACAGAGAGCAGACAAACAGUAAAAUCUUCAUAGCCAGUAGCCCACAUUUAUUCUCAAAACAUAACAUAAUAUCCACCAUUUUUGGUUCACAGUUUUUUAUCCAUCCCACAGUUAAGUAUUACAUUAAAAGUCAUGAGGUGGCCUAUAAAAUGAAAAUGAUUUCCCUUUGUUCAGUUUCAACUGGAGCUUUUUGUGGAUAUAAACUGAGACUGAGUGGACAAAACAUGACAUAGACUGACCUGGUUAAACCCGGUGAAAGCUAUAAUCCCUUAUUGGGUUGUGCAACUCAGUAUUAGGAAGGUGUUCUUAAUGAUUUGUACACUUAUUUUUUUUAUUUCACCUUUAUUUAACCAGGUAGGCAAGUUGAGAACAAGUUCUCAUUUACAAUUGCAACCUGGCCAAGAUAAAGCAAAGCUAUUCGACACAUACAACAACACAGUUACACAUGGAGUAAAACAAACGUACAGUCAAUAAUACAGUAGAAAAAUAAGUCUAUAUACAAUGUGAGCAAAUGAGGUGAGAUAAGGGAGGUAAAGGCAAAAAAAAGGCCAUGGUGGCAAAGUAAAUACAAUAUAGCAAGUAAAACACUGGAAUGGUAGAUUUGUAGCGGAAGAAAGUGCAAAGUAGAAAUAGAAAUAAUGGGGUGCAAAGGAGCAAAAUAAAUAAAUAAAUACAGUAGGGGAAGAGGUAGUUGUUUGGGCUAAAUUAUAGAUGGGCUAUGUACAGGUGCUGGUGCAGUAUAUUGUAAUAACUCUAUGAAAACAUUCACAUUCUGAAGGGAUACUCUCACCAAACGGCAUCAUCCCUCACCACUACAUAACAUUCCCUUAUUUACCCAUUUUGGGUCAUAAUGCUUAAUGUUAUGGUCUGAGUCAUUAUCUCCUUUCUGUUAGUGACUGGACAAUCAGACGCACAACACAUACUGCACCAUAUGCCUUACAAGUCUUGUGAGUGUGUGACAUACCAAAAGAGCUGAGGAGAAGGCAUAUGCCUCUCAGUAGCAUGUACAGCAUGGCUGACUGGCCCUCUGGAAGAAGCUUGGCCAGAGGCAGGAAGGAAGUGAGGCAGAGACGGACAACAGAACCCUGGGUGAGAAAGGAGAGACUACCCCAAAUUACAUGUAAAGAAGUCGACUAGCCACAUCAGAACCCGAUCAUUCUCCACUGAACCAAAGGCCCCAGUCAGGUUUAGGGUUUGUCCCCUGCCUGUACUCCUCUGCUGAUGUGGACUCUGACUCCAUGGAUCCAUUCGUCUCUCUCUCUCUGUCCAGUAUGUGUAGGUCCGUUACCCCUCCUGUGCCCUCCAACGGCUGCUCAUGCCAUCUGCGGGGUGCCAUCUGGUUCAUAGUGGAGAUCAUGCAAAACAGAACACAUUCAUCCUUUGCAGUGAGAAGAGUGAUUCCAGCCCCUCUGUGUGUGUGUGUGUGUGUGUGUCAUUAAACACACACAGAAACCACCACAACCGUCCUCUAAAAAAAAAAAAAAAAAAAAAUGUAGAUGUUUUUGGUUUGAUCAUAAUGAUAUCAUCAGAUACUAAUAAGAAGUCCACAUACGCAUUGUCCUGACUAUGUUUCACAAACACUCAAAAUGCAAGCUUUUGACAAUUUCUGGUCUACAGUAGCAUUGUACCCUCUCCCUUUGGGAUGCUGGUAAAGCAAUGAAUCGACUAUACUAAUUAAAUCCAUUUGUUUCUAUAAUUAUCUCUGGUCAUUUUCUAAACCUGGGAAGCUGUCCAACUGAUAUUUUUCCCAUUAGCUUUGCUCAAGGUCCUGAAGAAGACAAUGUGUUUGAGGUAGCUAUGGAGGAAUGUCCAUAUGGACACCAGACACAGACCAGGCUCAGUCCCACUAUUAUUAUGCUUGUGCAAAAACAAAAUUGAAAAAUACAAGUAUUUGACAUGCUGACUCUUAUCCCCAAAGUAUUAUCUAAGCUUGGAGUUGGUUCUUUGAAGAGCACCAUUGGAGCAGGGCAUUCUCUCUGCCAAGAGCAGUCAAUGUAAAUGAUUAAAUACUCUUUAUUAAUAAGCAACUCCAUCAGUUUUAUUAGAGAUAUGUAAUGACCACAGCAGUGAACUGUUAAAACUCUAGCUUGAGGUCUGAUCCUCUAAGGUGGAUGUAAGCGCCUUUGUUCCCCAUCUGAUCACUGGAUCACUAUAACCCUGAUUAAAUAACUGCCACCAUUA